rnacentral:lncRNA from 1 species
CUUUCUCUGCCAAACUCUUCCUUGAUGACACACAAGAUCCGAGGAUGAAUGAUUGCCCUCUUGAACUCAUUACACUUUCCUUGCCUAGAAUCUGGGGACAGAAUGAAGGCUCUGUCUUCUACUCCAUCAUCUUGUUGGCAUCACUCCUGGAAAAGAUAUUCCAGUGCAAAGUUGAGUGUGGAUCAUCUUUAGGGAUGUAAUCUCGACUUCCCUUCGGAGAAAAGGAGAAAUACCACAUUUGUUGGAAGCCAGUCUCCAAGAAAGUUCACAGUUUUUCCUGAUGCCUAUUGUCAAGCUCAGCAGAGCUGCCUGCCUCCAGCUCCAGUAUUAGAACUAUCCUGGUGUAAUGUGCAAAAAAAGAGAACAGAGAGAAGAUAGAACAAUCAUCAAAUUCUUACUCUCAUAUUUCUACAAACAUGAAAAGAUAAAAUCUAAGAGGGAGAACAAGUAAGUCAGGGAUUACGGCUACGAUUCAGUUUCGAGAUUCCACUAAUUGAUCAGAGAAAAAGAAUGGACUGCAAGAUGAGCUUAAAUCAUGUUAUUGUUUCACAAUCACAAAGACAAGACUGGUGUCCACAUUAGAAGAAGAAGAGAUACCAGGAGUAAAUACACACAGAGACAAGACUGUAUGAGGACACAGAAAGAAGGCAGCCAUCUGUCAGCAAACAUGAGAGGCCUCAGAAGAAAUCAAAUUUUGGGCACCUUGAUGUUGGACUUCCAUCUUCC